rnacentral:rRNA from 1 species
GAUGAACGCUGGCGGCGUGCCUAAUACAUGCAAGUCGAGCGAACGGACGAGAAGCUUGCUUCUCUGAUGUUAGCGGCGGACGGGUGAGUAACACGUGGAUAACCUACCUAUAAGACUGGGAUAACUUCGGGAAACCGGAGCUAAUACCGGAUAAUAUUUUGAACCGCAUGGUUCAAAAGUGAAAGACGGUCUUGCUGUCACUUAUAGAUGGAUCCGCGCUGCAUUAGCUAGUUGGUAAGGUAACGGCUUACCAAGGCAACGAUGCAUAGCCGACCUGAGAGGGUGAUCGGCCACACUGGAACUGAGACACGGUCCAGACUCCUACGAGAGGCAGCAGUAGGGAAUCUUCCGCAAUGGGCGAAAGCCUGACGGAGCAACGCCGCGUGAGUGAUGAAGGUCUUCGGAUCGUAAAACUCUGUUAUUAGGGAAGAACAUAUGUGUAAGUAACUGUGCACAUCUUGACGGUACCUAAUCAGAAAGCCACGGCUAACUACGUG